rnacentral:rRNA from 1 species
AUGAACGCUAGCUACAGGCUUAACACAUGCAAGUCGAGGGGCAGCAUGGUCUUAGCUUGCUAAGGCCGAUGGCGACCGGCGCACGGGUGAGUAACACGUAUCCAACCUGCCGUCUACUCUUGGACAGCCUUCUGAAAGGAAGAUUAAUACAAGAUGGCAUCAUGAGUCCGCAUGUUCACAUGAUUAAAGGUAUUCCGGUAGACGAUGGGGAUGCGUUCCAUUAGAUAGUAGGCGGGGUAACGGCCCACCUAGUCUUCGAUGGAUAGGGGUUCUGAGAGGAAGGUCCCCCACAUUGGAACUGAGACACGGUCCAAACUCCUACGGGAGGCAGCAGUGAGGAAUAUUGGUCAAUGGGCGAGAGCCUGAACCAGCCAAGUAGCGUGAAGGAUGACUGCCCUAUGGGUUGUAAACUUCUUUUAUAAAGGAAUAAAGUCGGGUAUGCAUACCCGUUUGCAUGUACUUUAUGAAUAAGGAUCGGCUAACUCCGUGCCAGCAGCCGCGGUAAUACGGAGGAUCCGAGCGUUAUCCGGAUUUAUUGGGUUUAAAGGGAGCGUAGAUGGAUGUUUAAGUCAGUUGUGAAAGUUUGCGGCUCAACCGUAAAAUUGCAGUUGAUACUGGAUAUCUUGAGUGCAGUUGAGGCAGGCGGAAUUCGUGGUGUAGCGGUGAAAUGCCUAGAUAUCACGAAGAACCGCGAUUGCGAAGGCAGCCUGCUAAGCUGCAACUGACAUUGAGGCUCGAAAGUGUGGGUAUCAAACAGGAUUAGAUACCCUGGUAGUCCACACGGUAAACGAUGAAUACUCGCUGUUUGCGAUAUACAGCAAGCGGCCAAGCGAAAGCGUUAAGUAUUCCACCUGGGGAGUACGCCGGCAACGGUGAAACUCAAAGGAAUUGACGGGGGCCCGCACAAGCGGAGGAACAUGUGGUUUAAUUCGAUGAUACGCGAGGAACCUUACCCGGGCUUAAAUUGCAGAUGAAUUACGGUGAAAGCCGUAAGCCGCAAGGCAUCUGUGAAGGUGCUGCAUGGUUGUCGUCAGCUCGUGCCGUGAGGUGUCGGCUUAAGUGCCAUAACGAGCGCAACCCUUGUUGUCAGUUACUAACAGGUUCUGCUGAGGACUCUGACAAGACUGCCAUCGUAAGAUGUGAGGAAGGUGGGGAUGACGUCAAAUCAGCACGGCCCUUACGUCCGGGGCUACACACGUGUUACAAUGGGGGGUACAGAGGGCCGCUACUACGCGAGUGGAUGCCAAUCCCAAAAACCUCUCUCAGUUCGGACUGGAGUCUGCAACCCGACUCCACGAAGCUGGAUUCGCUAGUAAUCGCGCAUCAGCCACGGCGCGGUGAAUACGUUCCCGGGCCUUGUACACACCGCCCGUCAAGCCAUGGGAGCCGGGGGUACCUGAAGUGCGUAACCGCGAGGAGCGCCCUAGGGUAAAACUGGUGACUGGGGCU